rnacentral:lncRNA from 1 species
GAGAGAGAGAGAGAGAGAGAGAGAGAGAGAGAGGCUAGGAUGCUUAUGGAAGCACGGAGGGCUCCGUGCUUCCACUUUGUUUUCGAUGUUCGGACUUUCGAAUCGACGAUCGGCUCCGUUAGACUUGAUCUAGAGUAUUUGAAGUAUCUAGAAAAUAAAUUUUGCGAUUUUUCGAUAUCAUUUGCCUAGUGAUCGAAGUAGCUCAAAAUCAACGGCUGAAAAUAAAAAUCUUACAAAAUAUGAUGAUAUGACAUUAAAAUUUUAGAUCAACGUUAUUGAUCUUGUUUUAUAUGGUAUAAAGAAUUUUCUAUCAAAAUUUCAUGUGAUUUGGAUAUUUCUACACCGUUAAACUUGCAACCGGCUCACCACGGCCAUUCAAAUUAUUGAUUUUGAGCCCCUUCGAUCGCUAGGCAAAUGAUAUCGAAAAAUCACAAAAUUUAUUUUCUAGGUACUUCAAAUACUCUAGAUCAACUCUAACAGAGCCGAUCGUCGAUUCAAAAGUCCGAACAUCGAAAACAACGUGGAAGCACGGAGGGCUUCGUGCUUCCAGAAGCAUACCAGCCCACUCUAUAUAUAUAUAUAUACAAUAAUCAGAUGCAUGAAAUAAUCAAUUCCAUGCAAUAGAUACAUUUGCAAUAAUGAGAUGAAUGAUGAUUCCCAAAGAAAAAUUGUUUGUCCCAGAAAAAUUGUGUAUGCAAAACUGUAUAUGUAUUUGCUACUCUGUUUUGGUUUUAUUUGCAUAAUCAUUCAAUUAUCCUUUUGGCUAGAUACUUUUUUUUAUUUAUUACUCUCUUGAUUAUUGAUUAGAAGGUCAAAUUAUAAAAACCAAAAGGAUAAAAAAUGUUUACACAACCGGCUAAUGAAAACUCUCAACCUUCAUCGGCACCACCUAUUAUUCAUACAAAUGUAGGAUCAAAUCCGUCCCCAGUUGAUACUAUCGGUGAUGACGAAGAAACCAAUGAAGUAAUGAAAAAAAAAGCAACUUCCUUGGUGUGGAAUCACUUUACGAAGGAAAAAGUUGGUGAAGCUAUAAAAGCCAAGUGUAAUUAUUAUGGAAAGAAACUUUAUGGGGAUACAAAACAUGGAACGAGCCACUUACAUUCGCAUCUGAAGGUAUGCCCAAAGCACGAAUUUAAAGACAUGAAAGAUAUAGUGAAUAAAAAAAAACUAAAGUUAGAACAAUUCGGUGGUGAGAAAGUAAAGGUUGUCAAUUUUACCUUUGAUCAAGAGGUGUCAAGAAAGGAGUUAGUGUCGAUGAUUAUUAUGCAUGAAUAUCCAAUUUCCAUAGUAGAGCAUGUUGGUUUUAGAAAAUACUCGGCUUCUCUUCAACCGGCAUUCAAAAAACCUUCUAGAAAUACAGUGAGAAAUGAAAUUUUAAAAAUUUAUGAUUAUGAGAAGGAAAAUACGAUGAAUUUAUUGAAAUCAAAUUGAAGUAGAAUUGCUAUUACUACUGAUAUGUGGACAGCUAAGAACCAAAAGAGAGGCUUUAUGGCGAUCACGACUCACUUUAUUGAUGAUUCUUGGAUGCUGCAAAGUCGAGUGUUGAGGUAUAUUUUAAUUUUUGUAUGCAAGUAGUAUUACUUUUCAUAUUUCUCAUUCAUAAAAGUUACUUUCAUUAUUAUUCAUUAUAGGUUUGCCUAUGUACCUUGUCCACACAGUACUAAUACACUUUCUGAUGUAUUGAUGGACACAUUUAUUGAUUGGAAUCUUGAUAAAAAGCUCUCUACUCUAACAGUAGACAACUGCAAUUCGAAUAAUGCUAUUGUAGAUAUCCUAUUGGAUAAGCUUGAAAAGAGGUCUUUUAUGGUCCGUGGGCGUUUUUUUCACAUGCGUUGUUGUGCACAUAUUCUUAAUUUAAUUAUUAGAGAUGGAUUAGAGAUGAUAGGAGAUGCUCUUGAGAAAAUACGAGAUAGUGUUGUAUUUUGGAAGGCAACACCAAAGAGAGAGGAAAAGUUUGAAGAAACAGCCCGUUAGUUGGACAUUUCAAGUACUAAGAAAUUGGUGCUUGAUUGUAUAAAACGCGAAGGAAUUCUAUGUUUUUAAUGCUUCAAUCAGCUUUGGUAUAUAGGGAUGUUUUCUCAUACUUGAAACUUUGUGAGCCAUUAUACAAGUGCUUGCCUUCAGAAGACGAUUGGUGUGUAGCGGGGGACAUGUGUGAGAGGCUCGAACUUUUCUAUAGUGCAAUCGAAAUUUUUUCCGGUACAAGAUAUCCCACGACUAAUCUAUUUUUUGAAAAAGUGUGCGAUAUUUGAUUGACAUUACUUCAGUGGUCUGUAGAUCUUAAUGAGAUGAUUAGAUCCAUGGCUGAAAAAAGGCUGAAAAAAUUUGAUAAAUAUUGGCAUAUAAUUCAUGGCAUUAUGGGAGUAGCAACUGUUUUGGAUCCAAGAUAUAAGUUGACUCUAUUGGAUUGUUAUUUUUCGACCAUUUACAGUACCGAAGUCAAUAAUGAAGUUGAUAGAAUUCGACAAUUAGGUUAUGAUCUCCUUAGUGAGUAUUAAGAAAGAAACAAGCGAGACAAGGAAGUUGGUGGUGAAUCUUCUCAUUCAUUUUCUUCUUCUAUUACUGAAGUUGGCAGUGGUAGUAUAAUUAACAGGAAGAAUUUUACUGUUAUUUAUGAUCAAUAUAUGAUGCAGAAGAAGAAAUCAACAUUUAGUACACCUAUAAAAUCCGAAUUGGAUCAUUACUUAGAGGAGGAUCCUUUACCAAGAACAGAUAAUUUUGAUAUGUUGGCUUGGUGAAAAAGUAAUGGCCUCAAGUACCCUACAUUGAUGAUGAUGGCUAGAGAUAUCCUUGCAAUUCCUAUUUCUACCGUUGCAUCCGAGUCGGCAUUUAGUACUAGUGGAAGAUUUUUAAGCCCACAUCGAAAUCGGCUCCAUCCUGAUGUUUUAGAAGCAUUAAUGUGUACUCGUGAUUGUCUUUGGGCAAAAUUUCAUCAAGAAGGUUUUUUUUUUUUUAUUUAGUGAUAUACAAUUUAGUAAUUUAAAAUAUGUCUAUUAUAGUUAUUAUUUAUAUUGAUAUAUAAUAUGUUAUUUGUAGAUUCCUCUACAGCUACAUCGUAUUAUCGAUCUUCGUUGGAUGAUGAUGAUGAAGGUGGCAUCAUUGAUGUUGAUGAGGUAAUUUCUAAUCAAUUUUUUAGAAAAUAGUAUGAGAAUUUAUUAUUCUAGAAAUACUUUUAAUAGUUUUUGUAUCUUUUCUCAUGUACAAGAAUAAUAUAUAAUUUGCCAACGCAUCUUGGAGGAUUGACCAAUGACGAGGAGGCUAAGCGAAUGUUGUGUUAGAUAACUUAUUUAAAUUCUAAAGUAACAUUUUGAUAUCUAGAAAUUGUACUAGAUAUUUAGCGAAUGUAUUGUUGUAUUUAACUAUUUGAAUUUACGUUUUUUCAAUCGAAAUAUUGAUAUUAUAUGGCAUGAAUGUAUUUGAUUGUGUUUUGAAAUUUUGAUUGUGUUUUGAAAUUUUGUAUCGAAAUAUUGAUAUUAUAUGGUAUGAAUGUAUUUUGAUUGUAUUUGAUUGUAUUUUGAAAUUUUAAUUUUACUAUAAUAUAUUUUGAAAUAUGGUAAAAAAAUUCAUUAUUUUGGGUUCGGGUUUUCGGAUUCGGGUUUUCGGGAUCGGGUUCGGGUUCGGGUUUCGGGUUUUUGGUCGGGGCCGGAUAUGGGUAUGGAUUUUUAAAACCCGUCGGGUUCGGGUUCCGGUAUCAACUUGGUAUUCGGGUUCGGAUUCGGGUUUUUGAAAAUCCGACCCAAACCCGACCCGUUGACAUCCCUAUUAGAGUAUAAAAUAUGAAUUUGGAGUUAAGCUAGAAUUAUAAUUUUACAUGUUGGAUUUGUGUCUGACUUAGGAGAAAACAUAUAGAUUCCACACUGUCAUUUCUGAAAAUUACCAGAUUUAGCUUUAGAAGCUGUGGUUCGUUUGUAUCGCCGCUGUUCGUAUGCGGUGGAUACCCAGAUUAGUGUAGGAUGAGUUUACGCUCGUGCUGGGAUGCCGAGCUUAUUUUACAGUAGUGUGUAGACUAUUUUGGGCUAUCGGGUGUCGUCGUGGUUGACGGUGGACCCAGAUUUCUGUAUUUUGCCUCAGAUUGUGCCAAGGGCACGUGAGUUUGGGUUGUUAGACCAGUUAGACCCAUUUGCAUUGAUUAUAGCUUGUGAGAGCCUGAUUGAGCUCGACAGAGAUACGCUUGCAUACUCGGUUGGGUCGCGCCCACGAGUGCCGCUCCGGAGUUUGUCUACGUGCUUUUGCGUUGAUGCCGUAGUGUCCGGUUAGGACUUUGCUCUCCACCGGCAGCCCUCGGGGUGGUGUGCGGUGUAGCUUCGGCAUGCGGGACGGACGGGUGCGUUCACAAUCCCUAGUUAGUUUGGGUCAGAGAUUAUAUUUUUGUUAUAUCUACAGAUAGCCAGUGUUGGUUAGCGAUAGUAUAGUGGCAUAUAGCUGUAGGAUUUCUAGCUUUCCUUACUAUCUCAUACGCACUUUUCUAUAGACUUAGUGGGUGAGCCGUUGAAGUCGGUGACGGUACUCACUGAGGACUACUCCCUUUUGUAGUAGUUCUCACACCCAGUUGUUUUACCCCUUUUUGCAGAGCUCGUCCGCGGUUGCUGCUGUCGCCGAUUCUGAUCGUGGAAAGAGAGUCGCGAGCUAGAUUCCUUUCAGCCUUGCUGCAGUACUAGAGGAGUACCUUCUAGAGGCAGUUUUGGACUUUCCUUGUACAUACUGUGUUGUUGUCGGGGUACUUGCUGGAGCGAGUGUGUAGUGGACUUUUUAUAUGUACUGAAACCCCUCGAGGUUUUAUAUAUAUACUAGUGAAGGUACCCGUGCAUUGCGGCGGGUUGAUUCUAUAGAAAAAAUAAAAUUAUAUAGCAGUUGAUGAAAAUGAUAGUAUAAUCUACACAAAUUUGUCAAGAUUUUCUUUAUAUUUAGGCAAAAAAAAUCAAUUUAUAUCAAAAAUUCAUGAAAUUUGAAGAAAAUUUCACAAAAUUGCAAAUUACCAACAAAAAAAUAGAAGAAUUUCAACUAUUACUCUCAUCAACCUCAAAAUAAGCUAACAGGCAUGAAAAUCCUAGUUGAAAAGCUUGGCACACAUAGUUCAAUGUUGAUAAUCAAACCGACAUAAGUUGAGCUGGUUCAACAGCUUGUUAGAUAAACAUAAUACCUAAAGAAAAUAUUCUGCAUGCGAUGGAAUGAAUGUUCUGUAGAUGUUUAAAUUAGGAAGUCCAACUUUUCUUAGAUAAUUCAAUAACGAAAAAUUUAAGAAAUUUUCAUAUAAUCUCUCUAUUAUCCUAUAUAAAGAAUAAUUUUACUUUUUUAAUAUUGUAUUUGAUUUCUCUAACUAAGAGCUAAACCUUUUGAGGAACCAUUUUACUACUCUUAUCAUCUCCGAAUCUGAGCCUCCCAUGCUCUCCUCUUUCCCAAGAAUAUACCUAGCAGAGCUGCUAGAUUCUUAACAACAUUACUUGCAAUUAAAAUACUAUAAACUUCUCUUCUUCUUUUUUUUUUUUUUCUGUUUCCUUGUAUAGUGCACUCAAAAUUGCAUUCACUAUAUUACAUUGUCUAAUUAAGGACACUCAAUAUAAUUUAUUGAAUUACAUGGUCCAAUCAACUGGGAAAAUGCAGAGCCCAAAUGACAUCUAAUAGGUUUUAAGCAUUACCAGCAAUUACAUAUAGAAUUAACUAUAUAUUUAAAGCAUCCUAUGAUCAUAAACAAACUUACAUAAUAAAAAGAAAAAAAAGGUACUAUGUUACCCAAAUAAAGAGGAAAGAAAGAUGAUCUUAAACAGUCUCUAAAACCAUUUUAUAAUAUUCAACAAAUAUUCUUACUUGAAACUGCAUUUAAGCAAAUAUUUUCUAUGCGAACUCAUUCAGACCUUCCCUCAGUGUAGCACAUUGUCAAAAUUGGAUUUAAAUUUCCUAACAGAAAAUUUUCAUUAGUAUUUUGUAUUGAUAAACCAAUUAUUAGUAUGAGAAGAGGACCCUCUAUCAAAAGGCAUCAAAUUUUAAGUAAUUUUUUUGUCUCAAUUAGGACCCAUCAAUAAGAUCAUAAAGAAACGAAAAGCUCACUAUUUUAUACACUUUAAAAGAGAAUUGGAAAUCAUCUACCCAAAGUGUUGCUAAUUAAUCCUUCCCAAGUGAGCUCUUACACAUAGAACGCCUCUUUGAAAAUCAUAUAUUCUUAAAUAAAAUUUUGAUGCCUUCCAAAAAACUUCUUGGCGAAGUGAACAAAUAUAAUUUAGACUUCAAAAACAGCACAUGAUGAAUGUAGCGCAAGGUUACAUAGUGGAUGAACUACCUACUCGAUGAACAUCUAGACACGGUUGGAACCUACAUAGUUAUAAUUGCACUUAUGUCAAAUUAAUAGCUUGAGCACUUCAGUGAAAAUAAUUGAGAAAUGAAGUUCAAAGGUACCGAUAUGAACACCUUUGAAUGCUUCGUAGAAUUCAGAAAGUCUCUCUGCCUAAAAACUGAAAAACAGGAUAUAAAACAUUUAAUUUCACUCUGAUUAAACUUUAGACUUCAUGUAGUAUGAAUAUUUUUAAUUCCAUGGUAUUUUCCUUCAGUGUACAUCAUUAUUUUAGAGAUACGCGAUAAGUCUACAAUCUUACACAAUUUUCAUGGUUCACAGCAUUCUCUCAUUAUUUUAAUAUGCAAUGAACAUUAGUAUCUACAAAUUGGUAAUUUUACAUCAUCCAUCUUCUUCAUGAAUUUACAGGUAGAUGUAAAAUGGCCUCAAUAUUACCAUCAUCAUGUACUUAAGUUUGAAGAUCAAAGUGUUGUGCAACUUAUAGUUUGAGGACCAGGAGUGUAAUAUAGCCUCCUCUUAGCUUUCCUAGUCAUUCUCUCAAAUACUACGUAGGCACUACUCAAAUAAACCAAUUUGGACAAUUUUUUCUUUUUUAUUUUCCUAUCUUUGCAUAAAUACCCUUGUCAAAAAUGUGUAAUUAUAGGGACAAGCCUGAAAAAUUAGUAUUUGAUAUAUUUCUCAAGGUAAAUGUGCAAAAAAAGAAAAACCCAAUUUUAUCUCUUUGUUUUUUUUAAUCUAGAGAUUACAACAAAGGCAAUAGCAGGAUUUGGGAGUAAAAGAACAAAAUCCAAACAGUUUGUGUGGUAAAUUACAGUUGAUGUCAUAGGAAUGGGGGAGAGGAUGCAAGGUAUGUUUUACCCUCUGCAGCAUGUGUAUGGCAUGCAUAUUUGGAUGCUCCAGAACAUCCUCCUCACCCCCACAACUUCACAUAUUCUACCAUUUCUUCAAUCCAAUCCUACAAUUCUUUAGAACAAAAAAUAUCAAUUGAAAACUUAAAAUGUACUAUUAUUAUCUAUUGCACUUCGAUUACAAAGUUACAUGAUAUUUUAUGAGAUCAAUGAGAUAUGAAAUUGAGGACACUUAUUUCUCUAAAAAAUAAAUAAAUAAAUUGAGAGCACUUACUUGAAAGGUGUUACCAAAUGCAUCGGAUGUACGAGACUCAUUCAUUGAUUCUGAUGGUGGGAUUAUCUCUAUUCAGUUCUAGCCAAGUGGUUUUUCUUUGUUAGCANUUGUUUUCGAUGUUCGGACUUUCGAAUCGACGAUCGGCUCCGUUAGACUUGAUCUAGAGUAUUUGAAGUAUCUAGAAAAUAAAUUUUGCGAUUUUUCGAUAUCAUUUGCCUAGUGAUCGAAGUGGCUCAAAAUCAACGGCUGAAAAUAAAAAUCUCACAAAAUAUGAUGAUAUGACAUUAAAAUUUUAGAUCGAAGUUAUUGAUCUUGUUUUAUAUGGUAUAAAGAAUUUUCUAUCAAAAUUUCAUGUGAUUUGGAUAUUUCUACACCGUUAAACUUGCAACCGGCUCACCACGGCCGUUAAAAUUAUUGAUUUUGAGCCCCUUCGAUCACUAGGCAAAUGAUAUCGAAAAAUCGCAAAAUUUAUUUUCUAGGUACUUCAAAUACUCUAGAUCGACUCUAACGGAGCCGAUCGUCGAUUCGAAAGUCCGAACAUCGAAAACAACUUGGAAGCACGGAGGGCUCCGUGCUUCCAAAAGCAUACCAGCCCACUCUAUAUAUAUAUAUAUAUAGUUGGGCUAGAAUACUAUUGAUAGCAAAACGUAAUUUUUGCUAUCAAAUUUUUAGCCUUGGCAUCAACUCUUUUCAUCAUUUCUAAUCAUUCGAUUAAAUACUAUAAACCAGUGGGGAUCACUCAACCCUAGGGGGACCACUCAACUCUAACUGACUAAUAUCAUCUUAUCCCUACAAUUUCUCAUCCAGGGGUUAAAAACUUGAUAGCAAAAAGAGCGUUUUGCUAUCAAUAGUAUUCCAGCCUAAUCCUAAUUCUCUCUCUCUCUCUCUCUCUCUCUCUCUCUCUCUCUAUAUAUAUAUAUAUAUAUAUAUAUAUAUUCAGUUUAGCAGCUCUUUAGCUUAUGGUUGUAGCUUGGUUUGUUUACAGGUACAGCUAUCGCUUUGUAUACAGAAAAAAUUUCUAUGUAUACAGCAAAUCUGUUGGCUUGCCCCGGAAAACGUGUAAUUUGGGGUGUGACAGUUACGGAACAUUUUAAAAACAGAGUAUUUGUUAAAAAUAAGAGUAUUUGGAUUAAAGCUGUAAUUUUCGCAAAGAAGUGUUUGCAAAGAAGUGUUUGGAUGAUUUUUGUAGAAAUACAAAAUAAAAUAAAA